CUCUGGGCCACCAUCAGGAGCUCUGGUUGUGUUUCACCGACGUCGCCUUCUUCAGUUGCUCCUCUGCUUCGUCAGUAUGGCGGGAAGCAGAGGUCGGCCAGCGCUACCUACCCAUCUCCCCGCCGACGCUGGUACCACACUCCCCGACGCCACCACCCGACGCCGCCCGAAUCUGUUCCCGGGUAUCUAGGACUCUCAACGGGUAUCCCUAGGCGUAGUAAGAACUCUCCUGAAGGAUGUGAAGAGGGAGUACAGUGGUGUGGUGACUCAGUGGCAAGGUGAUCUCUGUAUAUGACAGAGGCCUCAGGAUCAACUCUCAGACUGACUGAAGACUUGCAGAAAUGAACGAGACAGAGGCGGAAUUUUUUUUAAGGUAGAAACCAAAACGUACAUGUCCAUGGAGGAUGAGGACCACAACUUGGUAUCCAGAAGACAAAACAAACUGGACGAGAGACGACCAAGAAUACCUAAGAAUUUUGGAUCUGUCUCACAUGUCAAGAAAAUGUAUGGUAAGUGUUAAUGUCCACAUGGUUACUGAAGAAGAUUAUAACAGUGUAUUGUCUACAGACCAAUGCAGAAACACUACAGGAUUGAGGGAAGGACUUGCUGUGUGGUGUAGGAGUGAGGGAAGGACUCGGUGUGUGGUAUAGGACUUUAGGAGUGAACGUAGGUAAGACUUUAAUACACUGUUAUAAUCUUGUGUGGACGUUAUCACUUGUGGUGACGUCACUACUCUUGGGUGCUGUUCCACCAAUGUGCUAGACCCACUGGUGGUGACGUCACUGCUGUUCUACCAAUGGGUGCCUCAGGUGACUUUAGCCCAUUAAGAAUACAGAAAACCUUUUACUUAUUACGUCUCGUUUAGAAGUGAUGUAUGUCUAAAAAAUGUGUUUUCCAAUUUGUAUGCGAGUCCUUUUGAAAGUAUUGUUAAUUUUUUAAAAAUAAAUUUUUCUUCAUGUACA
rnacentral:lncRNA from 1 species